rnacentral:rRNA from 1 species
CCUACGGGAGGCAGCAGUAGGGAAUUUUCGUCAAUGGGCGCAAGCCUGAACGAGCGAUGCCGCGUGAGUGAAGAAGGCCUUCGGGUCGUAAAGCUCUGUUGCGGGGGAAAAAAGGCAGCAUCAGGAAAUGGGUGCUGACUGAUGGUGCCCCGCCAGAAAGUCACGGCUAACUACGUGCCAGCAGCCGCGGUAAUACGUAGGUGGCGAGCGUUAUCCGGAAUGAUUGGGCGUAAAGGGUGCGCAGGCGGUCCUGCAAGUCUGGAGUGAAACGCAUGGGCUCAACACAUGCAUGGCUGUGGAAACUGGAGGACUGGAGAGCAGGAGAGGGCGGUGGAACUCGAUGUGUAGCGGUGAAAUGCGUAGAUAUAUGGAAGAACACCAGUGGCGAAGGCGGCCGCCUGGCCUGUUGCUGACGCUGAGGCACGAAAGCGUGGGGAGCAAAUAGGAUUAGAUACCCUGGUAGUC